rnacentral:rRNA from 1 species
UACGUAGGGAGCAAGCGUUGUCCGGAAUUAUUGGGCGUAAAGCGCGUGUAGGCGGCUUUGCAAGUCGGGUGUGAAAGCCCUCAGCUCAACUGAGGAAGUGCGCCCGAAACUGCAGAGCUUGAGUACUGAAGAGGAUCGCGGAAUUCCCGGUGUAGAGGUGAAAUUCGUAGAUAUCGGGAGGAACACCAGUGGCGAAGGCGGCUUUCUGGACGGUAACUGACGCUGAGACGCGAAAGCGUGGGGAGCAAACAGG